rnacentral:RNase_P_RNA from 4 species
GGAUAGAUAUGGGUUCGUAGCAAAAUUGGAGCUGGGUAAAAAGAAGUCGUUAACAACGACCCUUGUUAAUAUAGUUGAUAACUGUAUUGGCGGGAGGGAAAGUGCCACAGAGACUAUACUUCCGGAAUUGAGAGCCGUAAGCGAUGAAGCCCAGCUCCUAUUUUGUUUCUAACCGAAUGAAGUUUAAAACGGUUGGCAUCAAAAUAGGGGCUGGGUGUAAAACUUACGGCACUCACAUUUAAUUCCGGUAAAGGUGAAAAGAGUGAGGUAAGAGCUCACAACGUUGCAUGGCAACAUGUGAUGGUGGAAAACCCUUCUUGGUGCAAGGCCGUGCUUCCGCUGUUUUGCAGCGGUGGAGUGCCGCAAAGAAUCCUGCGGCAACGUAGGAUCAAGACAGAUAAUGACCUCUGCGCUUUAAGAAGCGCAAAGACAGAAUUCGGCUUACAGAUGCGUUCUGCCC